CGGGGUGACUAGAGACAGAGUGAGAGAGAGGGUGACUAGUGACAGAGUGAGGAAGGGGGUGACUAGUGACAGAGUGAGGAAGGGGGUGACACAGUGACAGAGUGAGGGAGGGGGUGACUGUCACUAGUCACCCCCUUCCCUCCCUCACUCUGUCACUAGUCACCCCUUCCUCACUUUGUCACUAGUCACCCCUUCCCUCCCUAACUCUGUCACUAGUCACCACUUCCCUCCCUCACUCUGUCACUAGUCACCCCC